AGAGUUUGAUCCUGGCUCAGGACGAACGCUGGCGGCGUGCUUAACACAUGCAAGUCGAACGGAGAACUUAUUUCGGUAAGUUCUUAGUGGCGAACGGGUGAGUAACGCGUGGGCAACCUGCCCUCCAGUUGGGGACAACAUUCCGAAAGGGAUGCUAAUACCGAAUGUCCUCCCUCCUCCGCAUGGAGGAGGGAGGAAAGAUGGCCUCUGCUUGCAAGCUAUCGCUGGAAGAUGGGCCCGCGUCUGAUUAGCUAGUUGGUGGGGUAACGGCUCACCAAGGCGAUGAUCAGUAGCCGGUCUGAGAGGAUGAACGGCCACAUUGGGACUGAGACACGGCCCAAACUCCUACGGGAGGCAGCAGUGGGGAAUCUUCCGCAAUGGACGAAAGUCUGACGGAGCAACGCCGCGUGAGUGAUGAAGGUCUUCGGAUUGUAAAACUCUGUUGUUAGGGACGAAAGCACCGUGUUCGAACAGGUCAUGGUGUUGACGGUACCUAACGAGGAAGCCACGGCUAACUACGUGCCAGCAGCCGCGGUAAUACGUAGGUGGCAAGCGUUGUCCGGAAUUAUUGGGCGUAAAGAGCAUGUAGGCGGGCUUUUAAGUCUGACGUGAAAAUGCGGGGCUUAACCCCGUAUGGCGUUGGAUACUGGAAGUCUUGAGUGCAGGAGAGGAAAGGGGAAUUCCCAGUGUAGCGGUGAAAUGCGUAGAUAUUGGGAGGAACACCAGUGGCGAAGGCGCCUUUCUGGACUGUGUCUGACGCUGAGAUGCGAAAGCCAGGGUAGCAAACGGGAUUAGAUACCCCGGUAGUCCUGGCCGUAAACGAUGGAUACUAGGUGUAGGAGGUAUCGACCCCUUCUGUGCCGGAGUUAACGCAAUAAGUAUCCCGCCUGGGGACUACGAUCGCAAGAUUGAAACUCAAAGGAAUUGACGGGGGCCCGCACAAGCGGUGGAGUAUGUGGUUUAAUUCGA
rnacentral:rRNA from 1 species